CUGAAAGGUAGUAACAACACUGGGGAGGCAGAGAAUGGUGAGCUUUCUUGCUGGGACAGGGACAGCAGUGGAACUCCAUGACAAGUUUGUGCUAGGACCUGGGAUGUUCUGUGGUACUCAUGACCAUCCUUGAUAAAAUAAUGACCACAAGUGGGAAGAGGAUAUUCUGCCACAUAAAAUUCUGACCUAACAUAGUACUGAUACUUCUGUGUAAAGAUCCCUCCAUCAUGGUGCAAAAAAUGCUCUACUGGACUUUGAUAUAAUUUCUUGUUAUUUUGGACAUGGAGAAGUGGAACAACUGUUUUUGAGCUUACAGACACUUCACAGCACCCCAAGGAGACCUGGGCAAGCAGAAGUUCCCUAGCAGGUACAAGACAAGGGCAGUGAUGACUGAAGUCAGUCCAUAUUGUUCAGCUUGCAAUGCCCUCAGACUUCAGUGAGUGCCAUGUAUUUCUUCAGGAUGUUUUGCUCCAGAGUGGCUGCAGUGCACAGAAACCAUGUGUGUGGCAUCUGCACGGGGGAUGGCACUGACUUGCCCCAUGACACAUGCAGAAGAGAAGCACUGUCUGACUGGCACUGUCUACACUUGGCCCAGGAUUCUCACCCAGGGAAUAAACAAAAAGUGUCUUCGAGGCAGAGGGGAGAAGUCCCCAUCUGGCUUCCAGGCCUGGGCAGAUACCAUGUAGUGCUGUCAAGCCCCCUCACAAAGCAGUGUCCUCUUUUUCUUCCCAAAUCUCUGCCAUCCUUUAUCCUGUCCCAGAUGUCCUUUCACAACUGCCCAGUCCCACCUGAUUCAUGUUUGUAAUACUCUCAAUUAAAAAAUUAGUAAUUAAAAUGAAGCCCUCUUUUCCCAUAUUACUCCCAGCCAUUACACUGUUCCAUCUGCCCAUUCCCAGAUCCCUUCUUGUUUUUAAAAGACUCAUUAGCAUGUGAUCUUGUCUCUGCCAGGAUUCCCCAGUGCCAUCUGCUCCCUUCCUAGAUGAUCAGUCUCGCUCAGAUCACUGUUUACCACACUUAAAAAUAUGACACAUUUUCUAAGCUUGGAGGAUGCUGUUGUGUUUCUCUACAAAAGUCAGUGGCUAUCAGUUUCUUGCCACAUUGACCUUCGUCCUUAGAUGCCCUGAUGCAUUCCCAGAACUCUGGGGGUUUUGUGGUGGCAGCAGAUCUGUGUCCCUCAGGCUAUACAGCCACAUGCUGGGCUAUAAUUUGUUUAAGACAUUUAGCACCUCCCCAGAUUCAGCAUCCUCUUUGUGGGAACAAUUUGUGUCCAUCUUAAUUCCUGCAGCAUAAAAUUACUAAGUUCA
rnacentral:lncRNA from 1 species